AAGUAUUAAAAUACGCCAUUCCUAAGAGCUUCACUGAUUUAGGAACAGAUUGCUGUGGAUUUGAAUCCAAACUCUGGAAUUUACCUAUGAUAUGACCUUGGUCCACCCGGAGAGGCUUCAGUUAGUAAAACCCCUUGCAUCUCUCAAUACCUUCUCCUUUGUCUCCUCACUGGAGUCAAUUGUCUGUUCGGCAAAUUUGGAAGCAGAAACUGAAAAAAAUCUGAAACUCU
rnacentral:lncRNA from 1 species